rnacentral:rRNA from 1 species
CAUUUGUCCCUUAAUUGGGGACUAGUAUGAAAGGUAUAACAAUUUAACUUCUUUUUAUUCUUUUGAUGUUUAAUAUAUACUAAAAAUAAAAAUAUUUUUAUGCAAAAAAAAGACGAUAAGACCCUUUUAAACUUUACUUUUGUUUAACUGGGGCAGUUGUUUAAUAAUUAUUUUACUCGUAAUAUUAAAAUAAAAGACCCACUAACAUUGAAUUAAUGAGCAAGUUACUACAGGGAUAACAGCGUAAUAUUUUAUUAAAGUUCUUAUUAAAUAAAAAGAUUGCGACCUCGAUGUUGAAUUAAAGUACCUUUUUUAUGCAAAAAUAAUCAAAGUAAGUCUGUUCGACUUUUAAAACUUUACAUGAUCUGAGUUCAAACCGGAGAG